AUUGAACGCUGGCGGCAGGCCUAACACAUGCAAGUCGAACGGUAGCACAGAGAGCUUGCUCUCGGGUGACGAGUGGCGGACGGGUGAGUAAUGUCUGGGAAACUGCCCGAUGGAGGGGGAUAACUACUGGAAACGGUAGCUAAUACCGCAUAACGUCGCAAGACCAAAGUGGGGGACCUUCGGGCCUCACACCAUCGGAUGGGCCCAGAUGGGAUUAGCUAGUAGGUGGGGUAAUGGCUCACCCAGGCGGCGAUCCCUAGCUGGUCUGAGAGGAUGACCAGCCACACUGGAACUGAGACACGGUCCAGACUCCUACGGGAGGCAGCAGUGGGGAAUAUUGCACAAUGGGCGCAAGCCUGAUGCAGCCAUGCCGCGUGUAUGAAGAAGGCCUUCGGGUUGUAAAGUACUUUCAGCGGGGAGGAAGGCGGUGAAGUUAAUAACUUCACCGAUUGACGUUACCCGCAGAAGAAGCACCGGCUAACUCCGUGCCAGCAGCCGCCGUAA
rnacentral:rRNA from 1 species